UAAGGCUAUCAUAAUGGUGGACUAUGUUCGUCCUCACACCCUAUAUCUAUCUAAAUUCAGUAAAAGAGUAAUCUAGGAUUUUAUCAUGAAUUUUAAGUAUUUUUGAGGUGAGUAAUAUCGUCGAAUCUUGAGUUUUUGAUUUCUUAGUAUUGAGUUCUCUAUAUUGUUAUUGAUAUCCUUGAGUUAAGGUGUUCAUGUUUAUAUUUCAGCAUGAAUCCUUUUUUGAGUUGUAAUUUUUGAGAAUCUUUUAAAGCAAACAUUUUUGUCUUAAGCUGAUUUUCGGAGCAAGUAAAGAUAAGUUUUGAG
rnacentral:misc_RNA from 1 species